UUUAAAAGUGGCGCAGUUGGUAGCGCACAUGACUUGUAAUCAUGAUGUCGCAGGUUCGAUUCCUGCCUUUAGAA
rnacentral:tRNA from 2 species